rnacentral:tRNA from 1 species
GCCUUCGUGGUGUAGUGGUCAGUACGCUCGACGAAAAAACGAGAGGUCCGUGGUUCGAUUUCCGGCGAAGACU